CGCACGGGUGAGUAACACGUAUGCGACCUGCCUGCCACAGCCGGAUAAUCGGGAGAAAUUCCGUCUAAUACGGCAUAAUGCAUCGACGGGACAUCCUGUUGGUGCCAAAGGUUGAUUCCGGUGGCGGAUGGGCAUGCGUCGCAUUAGUUAGUUGGCGGUGUAACGGACCACCAAGACGACGAUGCGUAGGGGUUCUGAGAGGAAGGUCCCCCACACUGGUACUGAGACACGGACCAGACUCCUACGGGAGGCAGCAG
rnacentral:rRNA from 1 species